rnacentral:rRNA from 1 species
GACGAACGCUGGCGGCGUGCCUAAUACAUGCAAGUCGAGCGAAGUUUUUCUGGUGCUUGCACCGGAAAAACUUAGCGGCGAACGGGUGAGUAACACGUAAAGAACCUGCCUCAUAGACUGGGACAACUAUUGGAAACGAUAGCUAAUACCGGAUAACAGCAUUAACUGCAUGGUUGAUGUUUAAAAGUUGGUUUUGCUAACACUAUGAGAUGGCUUUGCGGUGCAUUAGCUAGUUGGUGGGGUAAAGGCCUACCAAGGCGACGAUGCAUAGCCGACCUGAGAGGGUGAUCGGCCACACUGGGACUGAGACACGGCCCAGACUCCUACGGGAGGCAGCAGUAGGGAAUCUUCCGCAAUGGGCGAAAGCCUGACGGAGCAACGCCGCGUGAGUGAAGAAGGAUUUCGGUCCGUAAAGCUCUGUUGUUAGGGAAGAAUGAUUGUGUAGUAACUAUACACAGUAGAGACGGUACCUAACCAGAAAGCCACGGCUAACUACGUG